rnacentral:pre_miRNA from 1 species
CAAUUGUCUCAAAACUUGGUAUCUUGGUGCCGGUGUGCAUGGCUUAGCAGCAGCAAAGCGGCUAGCCCAUCAUAGCAUGUUUCCACUGGCACCAAUGAUACCAAGUUUUGAGACGAUUG